CCUACGGGAGGCAGCAGUGGGGAAUAUUGGGCAAUGGGCGGAAGCCUGACCCAGCGACGCCGCGUGAAGGAAGAAGUCUUUCGGUUUGUAAACUUCUUUUCUCAGGGACGAAAGACGUGACGGUACCUGAGUAAUAAGCCACGUCUACCUACGUGCCAGCAGCCGCGGUAAUACGGAGGUGGCACGCGUUAUCCGGAUUUACUGGGUGUACAGGGCGUGUAGGCGGGAAGGCAAGUCUGAUGUGAAAGGCCGGGGCUCAACCUGUGGCCUGCAGUUGAAACUGUUUUGCUUGAGUACGGGAGAGGCAGACGGAAGUCCUAGUGUAGCGGUGAAAUGCGUAGAUAUUAGGAGGAACACCAGUGGCGAAGGCGGCUUGCUGGACAGCAACUGACGCUGAGGCGCGAAAGCGUGGGGAGCAAACAGGAUUAGAUACCCGUGUAGUC
rnacentral:rRNA from 1 species